rnacentral:pre_miRNA from 1 species
UCUUAGGGAUGAACAAAGAUAGUGGUUUCUUGAGACAGGACCUACCGUGGUGAAGAUGCUGUGAA